AACCCUACCGAGAACGUGGUCUCUCAUAUCGGACGGGGUAUGGAGACUUUAAAUGUUUUGGCGCCCAUACCGGACGAGGUAUGGGGACGACCCACUUCACCCUCAUACCAGACGGGGUAUUGAGAUUUAUGGUUUUAUCGCUCAUAUCAGACGGGGUAUGGGGACGGCCCUAUAAUUAAGGUCAAUGGUUCACGUAUAGCGGGGACCCCUAUGGAUCCCCAUGGAUACUAGUAGACUGAUAAAUAAGAAAAUUUGUUGUCUGAUGAUUGAAAUACAAAAGUAUGAUAUGUGUUAUGUUACAGAGUGUGCAUAAUCUUAUGAUGUUUAUAAUGUUAUUAUUUUCAUAAGU
rnacentral:lncRNA from 1 species